rnacentral:rRNA from 1 species
CACGUAGGGCGCGAGCGUUGUCCGGAAUUAUUGGGCGUAAAGAGCUCGUAGGCGGCCUGUUGCGUCCGCUGUGAAAGCCCGGGGCUUAACCCCGGGUCGGCAGUGGAUACGGGCAGGCUAGAGGUAGGUAGGGGAGAAUGGAAUUCCCGGUGUAGCGGUGAAAUGCGCAGAUAUCAGGAGGAACACCGGUGGCGAAGGCGGUUCUCUGGGCCUUACCUGACGCUGAGGAGCGAAAGCGUGGGGAGCGAACAGG